GAUGAACGCUGGCGGCGUGCCUAAUACAUGCAAGUCGAGCGAACGGACGAGAAGCUUGCUUCUCUGAUGUUAGCGGCGGACGGGUGAGUAACACGUGGAUAACCUACCUAUAAGACUGGGAUAACUUCGGGAAACCGGAGCUAAUACCGGAUGAUAUUUUGAACCGCAUGGUUCAAAAGUGAAAGACGGUCUUGCUGUCACUUAUAGAUGGAUCCGCGCUGCAUUAGCUAGUUGGUAAGGUAACGGCUUACCAAGGCAACGAUGCAUAGCCGACCUGAGAGGGUGAUCGGCCACACUGGAACUGAGACACGGUCCAGACUCCUACGGGAGGCAGCAGUAGGGAAUCUUCCGCAAUGGGCGAAAGCCUGACGGAGCAACGCCGCGUGAGUGAUGAAGGUCUUCGGAUCGUAAAACUCUGUUAUUAGGGAAGAACAUAUGUGUAAGUAACUGCGCACAUCUUGACGGUACCUAAUCAGAAAGCCACGGCUAACUACGU
rnacentral:rRNA from 1 species